GAGCAAGAGCCCGGAGAUGGAUUCUGAGACACGAAUCCAGGCCCUACGGGGCGCAGCAGGCGCGAAAACUUUACAAUGCGGGAAACCGUGAUAGGGGAACUCCGAGUGCCCGUAAAAUCGGGCUGUCCACCAGUUUAAAUAACUGGUGAAGAAAGGGCCGGGCAAGACCGGUGCCAGCCGCCGCGGUAAUACCGGCGGCUCGAGUGGUGGCCACUAUUACUGGGCUUAAAGCGUUCGUAGCUGGUUUGUUAAGUCUCUGGGGAAAUCUUCCGGCUUAACCGGAAGGCGUCUCAGGGAUACUGGCAGACUAGGGACCGGGAGAGGUGAGGGGUACUCCAGGGGUAGGAGUGAAAUCCUGUAAUCCUUGGGGGACCACCUGUGGCGAAAGCGUCUCACCAGGACGGCUCCGACAGUGAGGGACGAAAGCUGGGGGAGCAAACCGGAUUAGAUACCCGGGUAGUCCCAGCCGUAAACGAUGUGCGUUAGGUGUAUCGGUGACCACGAGUCACCGAGGUGCCGAAGAGAAAUCGUGAAACGUACCGCCUGGGAAGUACGGUCGCAAGGCUGAAACU
rnacentral:rRNA from 1 species